rnacentral:rRNA from 1 species
GACGUAGGGCGCGAGCGUUGUCCGGAUUUAUUGGGCGUAAAGAGCUCGUAGGCGGCUUGUCGCGUCGACUGUGAAAACCCGCGGCUCAACUGUGGGGCUUGCAGUCGAUACGGGGCAGGCUGGAGUUCGGUAGGGGGAGACUGGAAUUCCUGGUUGUAGCGGUGAAAAUGCGCAGAUAUCAGGGAGGGAAACACCCGGGUGGGCGAAAGG